CCUCCCUCCCUCUCUCUCUCUGCAACCAUGACUGCCACGAUGGGUCCACCGCCUCCCAGGAACCCUAACCCCUCGACCGAACCCGAGUCGAUAGCCCAAGAAGAAUCCGAACCCAGAACAGCCAAAACCACGAUGGGUCCUCCGCCACCUCUUCCCAUAAACCCUAACCCCUCGACCGAACCCGAGUCGAUAGCCCCAGAAGAAUCCGAACUCAUAACAGCCAAAACCACGAUGGGUCCUCCGCCACCUCUUCCCAUAAACCCUAACCUGCAAAAUCCCCUAGACGAAGAAGAACCAUCGAACUCAAAGUCAGAACCAAAUUCAACUGAAAAGCCCUUAAAUCCAAAGCAAUCUUCUGUGCCUUACACAAUCCCUCCGUGGAGUGGACCUCCUUGU
rnacentral:lncRNA from 1 species